GAACGCUGGCGGCAUGCCUUACACAUGCAAGUCGAACGGCAGCACGGGAGCUUGCUCCUGGUGGCGAGUGGCGAACGGGUGAGUAAUAUAUCGGAACGUACCCUAGAGUGGGGGAUAACGCAGCGAAAGUUGCGCUAAUACCGCAUACGAUCUACGGAUGAAAGUGGGGGAUCGCAAGACCUCAUGCUCAUGGAGCGGCCGAUAUCUGAUUAGCUAGUUGGUAGGGUAAAAGCCUAGCAAGGCAUCGAUCAGUAGCUGGCCUGAGAGGACGACCAGCCACACUGGAACUGAGACACGGUCCAGACUCCUACGGGAGGCAGCAGUGGGGAAUUUUGGACAAUGGGCGCAAGCCUGAUCCAGCAAUGCCGCGUGAGUGAAGAAGGCCUUCGGGUUGUAAAGCUCUUUUGUCAGGGAAGAAACGGUGGAGGCUAAUAUCCUCUGCUAAUGACGGUACCUGAAGAAUAAGCACCGGCUAACUACGUGCCAGCAGCCGCGGUAAUACGUAGGGUGCAAGCGUUAAUCGGAAUUACUGGGCGUAAAGCGUGCGCAGGCGGUUUUGUAAGUUUGUCGUGAAAUCCCCGGGCUCAACCUGGGAAUGGCGAUGAAGACUGCAAGGCUAGAGUUUGGCAGAGGGGGGUAGAAUUCCACGUGUAGCAGUGAAAUGCGUAGAUAUCAGGAGGAGUACCGAUGGCGAAGGCAGGUCUCUGGGCUAACACUGACGCUCAUGCACGAAAGCGUGGGGA
rnacentral:rRNA from 1 species